rnacentral:rRNA from 1 species
CCUACGGGUGGCAGCAGUGAGGAAUAUUGGUCAAUGGUCGGGAGACUGAACCAGCCAAGCCGCGUGAGGGAUGAAGGUACAGAGUAUCGUAAACCUCUUUUGUCAGGGAACAAAGGCGGGGACGUGUCCCCGGAUGAGUGUACCUGAAGAAAAAGCAUCGGCUAACUCCGUGCCAGCAGCCGCGGUAAUACGGAGGAUGCGAGCGUUAUCCGGAUUUAUUGGGUUUAAAGGGUGCGCAGGCGGUCUGUUAAGUCAGCGGUCAAAGCCCGGGGCUCAACCCCGGCGCGCCGUUGAAACUGGUAGUCUUGAGUUGGAGAGAAGUAUGCGGAAUGCGCGGUGUAGCGGUGAAAUGCAUAGAUAUCGCGCAGAACUCCGAUUGCGAAGGCAGCAUGCCGGCUCCAAACUGACGCUGAGGCACGAAAGCGUGGGUAUCGAACAGGAUUAGAUACCCUGGUAGUC